rnacentral:rRNA from 1 species
GGCUUACCAUGGUUUCAACGGGUAACGGGGAAUUAGGGUUCGAUUCCGGAGAGGGAGCCUGAGAAACGGCUACCACAUCCAAGGAAGGCAGCAGGCGCGCAAAUUACCCAAUCCCGACACGGGGAGGUAGUGACAAUAAAUACUGAUACAGGGCUCUUUUGGGUCUUGUAAUCGGAAUGAGUACAAUUUAAACCUCUUAACGAGGAACAAUUGGAGGGCAAGUCUGGUGCCAGCAGCCGCGGUAAUUCCAGCUCCAAUAGCGUAUAUUAAAGUUGUUGCAGUUAAAAAGCUCGUAGUUGAAUCUUGGGCCUGGCUGGCCGGUCCGCCUCACCGCGUGUACUGGUCUGGCCGGGCCUUUCCUUCUGGAGAACCUCAUGCCCUUCAGUGGGUGUGUUGGGGAACCAGGACUUUUACUUUGAAAAAAUUAGAGUGUUCAAAGCAGGCCUUUGCUCGAAUACGUUAGCAUGGAAUAAUAGAAUAGGACGUGCGGUCCUAUUUUGUUGGUUUCUAGGACCGCCGUAAUGAUUAAUAGGGAUAGUCGGGGGCAUCAGUAUUCAAUUGUCAGAGGUGAAAUUCUUGGAUUUAUUGAAGACUAACUACUGCGAAAGCAUUUGCCAAGGAUGUUUUCAUUAAUCAGUGAACGAAAGUUAGGGGAUCGAAGACGAUCAGAUACCGUCGUAGUCUUAACCGUAAACUAUGCCGACUAGGGAUCGGGCGAUGUUUCUAUCUUGACUCGCUCGGCACCUUACGAGAAAUCAAAG